UACGUAGGGGGCUAGCGUUGUCCGGAUUUAUUGGGCGUAAAGAGCGUGUAGGCGGCCAGAUAGGUCUGCUGUGAAAACUCGAGGCUCAACCUCGAGAUGUCGGCGGAAACCAUUUGGCUAGAGUCCGGAAGAGGAAAGUGGAAUUCCUGGUGUAGCGGUGAAAUGCGCAGAUAUCGGGAAGAACACCCGUGGCUAAGGCGGCUCUCUAGUACGGUACUGACGCUGAGACGCGAAAGCGUGGGGAGCGAACAGG
rnacentral:rRNA from 1 species